CCUACGGGAGGCAGCAGUGGGGAAUAUUGCACAAUGGGGGAAACCCUGAUGCAGCGACGCCGCGUGAGCGAUGAAGUAUUUCGGUAUGUAAAGCCCUAUCAGCAGGGAAGAAAAUGACGGUACCUGACUACGAAGCCCCGGCUAACUACGUGCCAGCAGCCGCGGUAAUACGUAGGGGGCAAGCGUUAUCCGGAUUUACGGGGUGUAAAGGGAGCGUAGACGGUCCUGCAAGCCAGAUGUGAAAGCGCGGGGCUCAACCCCGGGACUGCAUUUGGAACUGUACGGCUAGAGUGUCGGAGAGGCAGGCGGAAUUCCUAGUGUAGCGGUGAAAUGCGUAGAUAUUAGGAGGAACACCAGUGGCGAAGGCGGCCUGCUGGACGAUGACUGACGUUGAGGCUCGAAAGCGUGGGGAGCAAACAGGAUUAGAUACCCCGGUAGUC
rnacentral:rRNA from 1 species